rnacentral:rRNA from 1 species
CCAGACUCCUACGGGAGGCAGCAGUGGGGGAUAUUGCACGAUGGGGGAAACCCUGAUGCAGCGACGCCGCGUGAGUGAAGAAGUAUUUCGGUAUGUAAAGCUCUAUCAGCAGGGAAGAAAAUGACAGUACCUGACCAAGAAGCCCCGGCUAACUACGUGCCAGCAGCCGCGGUAAUACGUAGGGGGCAAGCGUUAUCCGGAUUUACUGGGUGUAAAGGGAGCGUAGACGGUUAUGUAAGUCUGGAGUGAAAGCCCGGGGCCCAACCCCGGGACUGCUUUGGAAACUGUGUAACUGGAGUACAGGAGGGGCAGGCGGAAUUCCUGGUGUAGCGGUGAAAUGCGUAGAUAUCAGGAGGAACACCGGCGGCGAAGGCGGCCUGCUGGGCUGAAACUGACGUUGAGGCUCGAAAGCGUGGGGAGCGAACAGGAUUAGAUACCCGAGUA